rnacentral:tRNA from 1 species
GCGGGUUUAGCUCAGUUGGGAGAGCGUCAGACUGAAGAUCUGAAGGUCGUGUGUUCGAUCCACACAAACCGCACCA